AACGUAGGAGGCGAGCGUUAUCCGGAUUUACUGGGUGUAAAGCGCGUGCAGGCGGUUGGCUAAGUUGGGUGUGAAAGCUCCUGGCUCAACUAGGAGAGGUCGCUCAAAACUGGCCGACUGGAGAACAGUAGGGGAAGGUGGAAUUCCGGGUGUAGUGGUGAAAUGCGUAGAUAUCCGGAGGAACACCAGUGGCGAAGGCGGCCUUCUGGACUGUUUCUGACGCUCAGACGCGAAAGCUAGGGGAGCAAACGGG
rnacentral:rRNA from 1 species